GCGAGUCCUUGAACUGGGCAUCCAUGUAUUGAAAUUCACUCCUCCCUCUCCCUGUCCAACCCCUACCCUCUGCAAGAAGUCUCUACAGGUUUCUAAGCCGCUCUGCACACCUGAGACCAAGCAGAUUGCUGCAACCAAACGAACUCCGUUGCUCCCAGCAGUGAAUCCCAGAGACAUGAAAACUGAGCCUAAGCAACCAUUUCCCCGAGAUCACACAGUCGGUCUAAGUUGUGGUUUGACCUCUGAGAAUCUGUCCAGAGUCUGUGCUCGUACCGACGACUUAAGAGCUCCAGAAUGAUAAUGGACAGAACAGCAGCUA